AUUGAACGCUGGCGGCAUGCCUUACACAUGCAAGUCGAACGGUAACAGGUCUUCGGAUGCUGACGAGUGGCGAACGGGUGAGUAAUACAUCGGAACGUGCCCGAUCGUGGGGGAUAACGAAGCGAAAGCUUUGCUAAUACCGCAUACGAUCUACGGAUGAAAGCAGGGGACCGCAAGGCCUUGCGCGAACGGAGCGGCCGAUGGCAGAUUAGGUAGUUGGUGGGAUAAAAGCUUACCAAGCCGACGAUCUGUAGCUGGUCUGAGAGGACGACCAGCCACACGGGGACUGAGACACGGCCCAGACUCCUACGGGAGGCAGCAGUGGGGAAUUUUGGACAAUGGGCGAAAGCCUGAUCCAGCCAUGCCGCGUGCAGGAUGAAGGCCUUCGGGUUGUAAACUGCUUUUGUGCGGAACGAAAAGACUCUGGUUAAUACCUGGGGUCCAUGACGGUACCGUAAGAAUAAGCACCGGCUAACUACGUGCCAGCCGCCGCAGUAAUAC
rnacentral:rRNA from 1 species